UUCUAUAUAACCACCAGUUGAGCCAG
rnacentral:misc_RNA from 1 species